rnacentral:rRNA from 1 species
AACGAACGCUGGCGGCAUGCCUAACACAUGCAAGUCGAACGAGACCUUCGGGUCUAGUGGCGCACGGGUGCGUAACGCGUGGGAACCUUCCUUUAGGUUUGGAAUAACUCAGAGACAUUUGAGCUAAUACCGGAUGAUGUCUUCGGACCAAAGAUUUAUCGCCUUUAGAUGGGCCCGCGUUGAAUUAGCUUGUUGGUGGGGUAAAGGCCUACCAAGGCGACGAUCCAUAGCUGGUCUGAGAGGAUGAUCAGCCACACUGGGACUGAGACACGGCCCAGACUCCGACGGGAGGCAGCAGUGGGGAAUAUUGGACAAUGGGCGAAAGCCUGAUCCAGCAAUGCCGCGUGAGUGAUGAAGGCCUUAGGGUUGUAAAGCUCUUUUACCCGAGAUGAUAAUGACAGUAUCGGGAGAAUAAGCUCCGGCUAACUCCGU